rnacentral:rRNA from 1 species
GUGCUCGAGUGGCGAACGGGUGAGUAACACGUGAGUAACCUGCCCUUGACUUUGGGAUAACUUCAGGAAACUGGGGCUAAUACCGGAUAGGAGCUCCUGCUGCAUGGUGGGGGUUGGAAAGUUUCGGCGGUUGGGGAUGGACUCGCGGCUUAUCAGCUUGUUGGUGGGGUAGUGGCUUACCAAGGCUUUGACGGGUAGCCGGCCAGAGGGGGUGACCGGCCACAUUGGGACUGAGAUACGGCCCAG